AACGAACGCUGGCGGCAGGCCUAACACAUGCAAGUCGAACGCUGUAGCAAUACAGAGUGGCAGACGGGUGAGUAACGCGUGGGAACAUGCCCUUCGGUUCGGAAUAACUCAGGGAAACUUGAGCUAAUACCGGAUACGCCCUUAGGGGGAAAGAUUUAUUGCCGAAGGAUUGGCCCGCGUCCGAUUAGCUAGUUGGUGAGGUAAUGGCUCACCAAGGCGACGAUCGGUAGCUGGUCUGAGAGGAUGAUCAGCCACACUGGGACUGAGACACGGCCCAGACUCCUACGGGAGGCGGCAGUGGGGAAUCUUAGACAAUGGGGGGAACCCUGAUCUAGCCAUGCCGCGUGAUCGAUGAAGGCCUUAGGGUUGUAAAGAUCUUUCAGUGGGGAAGAUAAUGACUGUACCCACAGAAGAAGCCCCGGCUAACUCCGUGCCAGCAGCCGCAGUAACAC
rnacentral:rRNA from 1 species